UACAGAAGCCUCGAGCGUUGUUCGGAAUUACUGGGCGUAAAGGGAGUGUAGGUGGUGACGUAAGUCAGAAGUGAAAGCCCCAGGCUUAACCUGGGAAGUGCUUUUGAUACUGCGUUGCUGGAGUGCGAAAGAGGAGAUCGGAAUUCCUGGUGUAGGGGUGAAAUCCGUAGAUAUCAGGAGGAAUACCGAUGGCGAAAGCAGAUCUCUGGUUCGUAACUGACACUGAGACUCGAAAGCAUGGGUAGCAAACAGG
rnacentral:rRNA from 1 species